UUGAUGUUGUUGUUGUUGCA
rnacentral:miRNA from 1 species